rfam:Ananas comosus cultivar MD2 ACMD2_Scaffold_2903, whole genome shotgun sequence.
AUACCUUUCUCGGCCUUUUGGCUAAGAUCAAGUGUAGUAUCUGUUCUUAUCAGUUUAAUAUCUGAUACGCGGGCCAUGUGCUCGCCUCGAUAUUAAAUUCAUUUUUUUCUGGGGAAGGGUCUGCCCACGGCAGCUUGCUGCUGCGGCCCUCGCGCGUCGCCCAUGCGUUGCACUACUGCACGGGCCUGGCGCACCCCUA